rnacentral:lncRNA from 1 species
AAAUAAUAAAAAAAAUACUUGGGCGUUACAGCUCUCUCUCCCUUAAAGAAAUUUGAUCCCCCAAAUUUGCAUGUUACUCUUGGUCGAACAGAUGGAGAUACUGGGCUCUAAAUUAUGAUUCUAGCUCCCAGGUAGCCUCCCUGGGCGUGUGGUUCUGCCACACGACCUUUACAAAUGAUAUUUUUCGGUUGCGGAGUAUUCUGCUCUUUCGGUCCGUAAUACCGACUGGUACUUCUUCAUAAGACAAGUCCUCUUAGAGUGGAAGCGGUUCAUGAGCCAAGACAUGAGAAGGGUCUGGGUUGUACUUACGUAGCAUGGAUACGUGGAACACGUUGUGGACUCUGGAGAGCUCUAGAGGCAGUCCUAGUCUGUAGGCAGCAGUACCAAUCAUGUCUAAGAUUUCAAAAUGUCCAAUAUAUUGGGGGUUUAAUUUUCCCCUCAUGUCGAACCUAUUGAUU